rnacentral:rRNA from 1 species
AUACGGAGGGUGCGAGCGUUGUUCGGAAGUACUGGGCGUAAAGCGGGUGUAGGCGGUGGACCAAGUCAGGUGUGAAAGCCCUCGGCUCAACCGAGGAAGUGCAUCUGAAACUGGUUCACUAGAGUACGGGAGAGGGGAGUGGAAUUCCCAGUGUAGAGGUGAAACUCGUAGAUAUUGGGAGGAACACCGGUGGCGAAGGCGGCUCUCUGGAACGAUACUGACGCUGAGACCCGAAAGCGUGGGGAGCAAACAGGAUUAGAAACCCCAGUAGUCC